UACGUAGGGGGCUAGCGUUGUCCGGAAUCAUUGGGCGUAAAGCGCGUGUAGGCGGUCCGGUAAGUUCGCUGUGAAAGUCGGGGGCUCAACCCUCGAAUGCCGGUGGAUACUGUCGGGCUAGAGUGCGGAAGAGGCGAGUGGAAUUCCUGGUGUAGCGGUGAAAUGCGCAGAUAUCAGGAGGAACACCAAUUGCGAAGGCAGCUCGCUGGGACGUUACUGACGCUGAGACGCGAAAGCGUGGGGAGCAAACAGG
rnacentral:rRNA from 1 species